rnacentral:rRNA from 1 species
UACGAAGGGGGCUAGCGUUGCUCGGAAUGACUGGGCGUAAAGGGCGCGUAGGCGGAUGGCACAGUCAGAUGUGAAAUUCCCGGGCUUAACCUGGGGGCUGCAUUUGAUACGUGUUGUCUUGAGUUCGGAAGAGGGUCGUGGAAUUCCCAGUGUAGAGGUGAAAUUCGUAGAUAUUGGGAAGAACACCGGUGGCGAAGGCGGCGACCUGGUCCGACACUGACGCUGAGGCGCGAAA